rnacentral:rRNA from 1 species
CCUACGGGUGGCUGCAGUGAGGAAUAUUGGUCAAUGGUCGCGAGACUGAACCAGCCAAGUAGCGUGCAGGAUGACGGCCCUAUGGGUUGUAAACUGCUUUUAUGCGGGGAUAAAAUGCGUCACGUGUGAUGUUUUGUAGGUACCGCAUGAAUAAGGACCGGCUAAUUCCGUGCCAACAGCCGCGGUAAACCGGGAGGUCCGGGCGUUUUCCGGAUUUGUUUGGGUUAAAGGGGGCGUAGGCCGGAUGUUAAGCGUGCCGUGAAAUGCCGUGGCUCAACCCUGGGACUGCGGCGCGAACUGGCGGGCUUGAGUGAGCGGAAAGUAGGCGGAAUUCGUGGUGUAGCGGUGAAAUGCUUAGAUAUCACGAAGAACGCCGAUUGCGAAGGCAGCAUACGGCAGCGCUACUGACGCUGAAGCACGAAGGCGCGGGUAUCGAACAGGAUUAGAUACCCGAGUAGUC